rnacentral:misc_RNA from 1 species
AAGAUAGUUGCAAAAACUCCCACAAACCAUCGCGAAACGUUACCACACAUAAGUUGCUUCGGCGCGCCGCUCCCGGGUCACACCGGGGCGCCCGCCGGGAGUGGCCGUAUACAAACUCUUAUUAUAACCCAGUUUACAAUUCUGAGUACUAUACUUAAUAAGUAAUAA